UCUUCUUUCUUAUUUCUUUCUCCCUUUUCUCGGUUCUUCGUCUCUGGUUUUUCUGUGAGAGGAUUAUGAGGUUGUGAAGUCGCUAAUCUUAAUAGAAACUCGAGGUGGUUUUCUUGUUGGUGGUUUUCUUGUUGGUUGAUUGUGGGAAGAAGGAAAGUGUAUGAUUUGUAGAGAAAACAGAAAGUUAGGGUUUCUGAGAUUUGAGAAUCGAUUGAGGAUUUAAACAAUAGAGGAUGGAAUUAAGUGAUUAAAGGGGGUACUGUGUAUUGGAAGCAAAGAAGAUAAAUUAGAGUUUGAUUCUCAAACUUCAGAGAAGAAUCAAGAAUGAGGGUUUGAGGAUUUGAUUAUUGUUUCGAAAAUUUAGAAAGAUAUAUAGCUAUGGCUAGAUGAAGAACACAUGGGUUGAUGUUUAAUUAACGUACUGAGGUUAUGUUGGUGCUAGAAUCAGAGAGUUAGGGUUUCAUGUUCUUCCCCAAUUUAAGAACGGGGUUCUGGUUAUUGAAUGAAGAUUCAAGUUGGAGUUAGGCAAGAAGAAAUUGAAGGAUGGGUGUGGUGAUUUGAGAGGUGAAUCGAAGUGUAGAACUCAAAUUAGUUAGAUAAAGGAAUUGGGAAGUUUUAGGGUUCUUGUGAACCAGUGAGGGUGUUGAAGAUUAUUGGGUGUUUGUAGUUGGGAUGAUUGUUCAAUUGAGGCAAUGAAAGGAAAAAUUCGACCUCAGUUCCCCGUGGAGAAUUAAUCUUGAGAUAUGUUGGACUGUGGCAGGUUAUUGUAGUUUUGUUAGCGGUAUUGAACUGGUGGUGCAAAAAUGGAUGAGAAACAAUGUGCUUGGUGUUGAAGUGGUAUAUAGGGAUGGUGGUGUUGUUUGCACAGUUGGAUUUGCUGGUGAUGGUGGUUUAUGAGUAACAGGGCUUUAGAAAUGAGACUGUUAGUGUUGUAUUCACAAGUGCAGGGCUAGCUGGAGUUGCAGUUAUUGGAGCCUUGAGAAAUUGGUGUUAGUGAGAUGAUUUGUUGGAUGCAGCUAUGAUAAACAAGAUGGCUGGGGUUAUUUUAUCAUGUCUAUUAUUUGUGUCUGAGAUUGGUGAAAAUGAAAUUCAGGAAAUAUAUGAGAUUGUAGUGGUAGUGCUGGAGAUUGAGUUAUGAUGCUGGCAAUGAAGGUUUUCUGUUGAGUUACAGGGAAUAGAUGUUGGGAACAAUGGUUGCUUGAAUUCGGUGGAGGUUGAAGUUGGUUAUCAUAAAGAAUAAGAGUUCAAUUGUUGUUGGCAGUAGUGGUGUAAUGGAUUGAAGAGUUGUAGAGAUAGGAAUGAAUAGAGCUUUCCUUUGUCAGUGUAUUUGAGUUGCAGAACUGGAGUUACUAGUAGUAAUGAUACUAUGAUCGAAUCAGUUGUGUGUGUUUGAUGUUGAGUGUUGUUGCAGCUAUGAAGAUUGUGAUUAUGAAGUUUUUGUAGCCGAGUUCGAUAGUAGUGCUUGUUGAGGUUAGGCGAAGGAGUUGGAGAAUGUUGUUUGUUUUGUGAAAGAAGUGAAAAUUUUGAUUGUUACUGUGGCAACUUAGCAGUGUUGAAGCUAUAAUGAUUUGGAAAUAGUAGAUAUAGAAUUAUAGUUAGUGAUUCAAUUAAAGCUUGCGACUGCGGCUACAUUUCAGGUAAACUGAACUUGUAAUCUUUUAUGAAUUCUUAAGUUUGAUAGAAAUGAAACGUUUUUGAAGUAGAUUUGACA